rnacentral:rRNA from 1 species
GAGGCAGCUGGCGCGCAAUUACCCAAUCCUGACUCAGGGAGGUAGUGACAAGAAAUAACAAUAAACCGGCUUAUGCCGGUUUAAUUGGAAUGAGUACAAUUUAAACAUCUUAACGAGGAACAAUUGGAGGGCAAGUCUGGUGCCAGCAGCCGCGGUAAUUCCAGCUCCAAUAGCGUAUACUAAAGUUGUUGCAGUUAAAAAGCUCGUAGUUGGAUUUCUGUGGGGACGGUGCGGCCGGCCGCAACACGCGGUUCGAGCUAGCGCUUUCCCUACAUCCUGCCGCGAACCGUGCUACCAUUAAUUUGGUGGCGCCGGGGAUCGGCUCGAUUACUUUGAGAAAAAUAGAGUGUUCAAAGCAGGCCACAUGCCUUGAAUAAGUUAGCAUGGAAUAAUAACUAAGGACUUCGGUUCUAUUUUGUUGGUGUUCGGGACUGAAGUAAUGAUUGAUAGGGACAGUUGGGGCGGUCUGUAUUCCAAAGCGAGAGGUGAAAUUCUUAGACCUUCGGAAGACAAACAGCUGCGAAAGCGUUCCGCAAGGAUGUUCCCUUUGAUCAAGAACGAAAGUUGGGGGAUCGAAGACGAUCAGAUACCGUCGUAGUCUCAACUAUAAACUAUACCAGCUAGGGAUCGGCCAACGUUAUUUCAUACCGACUUGGUCGGCACCUUAUGAGAAAUCAAAGCAUCUGGGUUCCGGGGGGAGUAUGGUCGCAAGGCUGAAACUUAAAGGAAUUGACGGAAGGGCACCACCAGCCGUGGAGCCUGUGGCUUAAUUUGACUCAACACGGGAAAACUUACCAGGUCCAGACAUAGUAAGGAUUGACAGAUUGAUAGCUCUUUCUUGAUUCUGUGGGUGGUGGUGCAUGGCCGUUCUUAGUUGGUGGAGUGAUUUGUCUGGUUAAUUCCGUUAACGAACGAGACCCCAGCCUGCUAAAUAGCGCGCGUGAGCUUUGCUCGCGGCGAGCUUCUUAGAGGGACUCUGAUGCGCGAUAGCACAUGGAAGUUUGGGGCAAUAACAGGUCUGUGAUGCCCUUAGAUGUUCUGGGCCGCACACGGGCUACACUGGCGCCUGCAACGAGCAUAUCAGCUGGCCCGAGAGGGUCUUGGCUAAUCUUUUGAACCGGCGCCGUGCUUGGGAUUGACCUUUGCAAUUGUUGGUCAUGCAACGAGGAAUGCCUUGUAAACGCGAGUCAUCAGCUCGCAUUGAAUACGUCCCUGCCCUUUGUACACACCGCCCGUCGCUCCUACCGAUGAAUGUUCCGAUGAAAUGCUCGGAGAGCACCUGUGAACUUGGCUCUGCCUUGCGAACGGGAGGCUCAAAGUCACUUAAAUCUGAACAUUAA